AUUGAACGCUGGCGGCAUGCCUUACACAUGCAAGUCGAACGGCAGCAUGAUCUAGCUUGCUAGAUUGAUGGCGAGUGGCGGACGGGUGAGUAAUACAUCGGAACGUGCCCUGUAGUGGGGGAUAACUAGUCGAAAGAUUAGCUAAUACCGCAUACGACCUGAGGGUGAAAGUGGGGGACCGCAAGGCCUCAUGCUAUAGGAGCGGCCGAUGUCUGAUUAGCUAGUUGGUGAGGUAAAGGCUCACCAAGGCGACGAUCAGUAGCUGGUCUGAGAGGACGAUCAGCCAUACUGGGACUGAGACACGGCCCAGACUCCUACGGGAGGCAGCAGUGGGGAAUUUUGGACAAUGGGCGAAAGCCUGAUCCAGCAAUGCCGCGUGUGUGAAGAAGGCCUUCGGGUUGUAAAGCACUUUUGUCCGGAAAGAAAUGGCUCUGGUUAAUACCUGGGGUCGAUGACGGUACCGGAAGAAUAAGGACCGGCUAACUACGUG
rnacentral:rRNA from 1 species